AACUGGCANCAAGUUCGCGAGGACAAGCAAAUCCCUAAACCGUGGCUCAGUUCAGAUCGUAGGCUGCAACUCGCCUACGUGAAGGAGGAAUCGCUAGUAAUCGCAGGUCAGCAUACUGCGGUGAAUACGUUCCCGGGCCUUGUACACACCGCCCGUCACACCAUGGAAGUUGGCCACGCCCGAAGCCGUUACUCCAACCCUCGGGAGGAGGACGUCGAAGGUGGGGCUGAUGACUGGGGUGAAGUCGUAACAAGGUAUCCGUACCGGAAGGUGCGGAUGGAUCACCUCCUAA
rnacentral:rRNA from 1 species